UUAGUGUUGGGUCAUUUUUUGAGUAACCCAAACGCUGGGUUAGCAGUCGGGUCCAAUUGAGUGACAGUUGAGAGAGUAAACCCCUCCCACUCCUCGACGCAUCAGACAAACUUUACCUUCGCGGGCAUUUUGAUCCCCCUCAUCUCGAAAAGUUGUUAUUCGGAGAAUAAAAGGAUGCAGAAUAACAGCUAAUAUUAAUGGAUCAUUCUAUUCAAGUGUAAGUCAACUGGAACGUGGAUGUUUUCAUAACAGGCUUAAAGAUGAACAAAUUGAUAAAGAAACCCUCCUGCUGAACAUCCACUUCCAAAAGUGCACGCCACACUGUUGUCUACAACUCUCAGGAAAAGAAUCCUCUUUAGUAAGACUGCUCCGUGGAUAUGUCAGGUUAAGCAGUGCUGAAACCGAAAGAACUAACACUCUUUAAAAUGUUUUGUGAGUUUAUAUGAAGAGGAAAGUUACGGUGUCCCUUUUUCACAUCCAUAACGCUUGUUUAUUUCUUUUUUUUAUAGAAAACUUGUGCAUAGACUGAUAUUUUAUCAUAUAAAUGUGGUUCUAUCAACAAGGGUUUAGUAAAAUACUUUUUAUAGUGUUUUUAUGUCGCAUCCAUAACGCUGCA